UACAGAGGUCUCAAGCGUUGUUCGGAAUCACUGGGCGUAAAGGGUGCGUAGGCGGCGGAGUAAGUCGGGUGUGAAAUUUGAAGGCUCAACCUUCAACUAGCACCUGAUACUACUUUGCUCGAGGCCUGAAGAGGAGCUUGGAAUUCUCGGUGUAGCAGUGAAAUGCGUAGAUUUCGAGAAGAACGCUCGCAGCGAAAGCGAAGCUCUGGUCAGGUUCUGACGCUGAGGCACGAAGGCUAGGGGAGCAAACGGG
rnacentral:rRNA from 2 species